rnacentral:rRNA from 1 species
AUACGGAGGGAGCAAGCGUUAUUCGGAAUCACUGGGCGUAAAGGACGCGUAGGCGGGUUUGUAAGUCAGGUGUGAAAUCCUACAGCUCAACUGUAGAACUGCACUUGAAACUACAGACCUAGAGUAUGGAAGGGGCAGAUGGAAUUAGUGGCGUAGGGGUAAAAUCCGUAGAUAUCACUAGGAAUACCGAAAGCGAAGGCGAUCUGCUGGGACAUUACUGACGCUGAGGCGUGAAAGCGUGGGGAGCAAACAGGAUUAGAAACCCCAGUAGUCC